UACGUAGGGACCAAGCGUUGUUCGGAUUUACUGGGCGUAAAGGGCGCGUAGGCGGCGCGGUAAGUCACUUGUGAAAUCUCUGAGCUUAACUCAGAACGGCCAAGUGAUACUGCAGUGCUAGAGUGUGGAAGGGGCAAUCGGAAUUCUUGGUGUAGCGGUGAAAUGCGUAGAUAUCAGGAGGAACACCUGCGGUGUAGACAGCUUUCUGGACCACUUCUGACGCUGAGACACGAAAGCGUGGGUAGCAAACAGG
rnacentral:rRNA from 1 species